rnacentral:rRNA from 1 species
AGCGCAGACGGUUACUUAAGCAGGAUGUGAAAUCCCCGGGCUCAACCUGGGAACUGCGUUCUGAACUGGAUGACUAGAGUGUGUCAGAGGGAGGUAGAAUUCCACGUGUAGCAGUGAAAUGCGUAGAGAUGUGGAGGAAUACCGAUGGCGAAGGCAGCCUCCUGGGAUAACACUGACGUUCAUGCUCGAAAGCGUGGGUAGGCAAACAG